rnacentral:rRNA from 1 species
UACGUAGGGUCCGAGCGUUGUCCGGAAUUAUUGGGCGAAAGGGCUCGUAGGCGGUUUGUCGCGUCGGGAGUGAAAACCAGAGGCUUAACUUCUGGCUUGCUUUCGAUACGGGCAGACUUGAGGCAUGCAGGGGGAGAACGGAAUUCCUGGUGUAGCGGUGAAAUGCGCAGAUAUCAGGAGGAACACCGGUGGCGAAGGCGGUUCUCUGGGCAUGUUCUGACGCUGAGGAGCGAAAGUGUGGGGAGCGAACAGG